UCAUGCACAGUAAACUUUACA
rnacentral:piRNA from 1 species